rnacentral:snRNA from 1 species
AUUCUUUGGGAAAUACCAUGAUCAUGAAGGUGGUUUUCCCAAGGUGGGGCUUAUCCAUUGUACUGGGUGUGCUGACCCCUGCAAUUUCCCCAAAUGUGGGAAACUCAACUGCAUAAUUUGUGGUAGUGGGAGACUGCAUUCACACUUUCCCCUA